GCUCUCUUGGAGAGUGACAGGAGAGCACAAAGAACUCCAUGUGUGGGGUUGGGGAUUUAGCUCAGUGGUAGAGCGCUUGCCUAGGAAGCGCAAGGCCCUGGGUUCGGUCCCCAGCUCCGGAAAAAAAAAAAAAAAAAAGAACUCCAUGUGUGUCAUUUAUUGUUAACGUCACCAACUAUACCUAUGGGAGAAAGGAGGAGGCUUAACUUAGCAGGUGCUAAUAAGUGCCCAGGUCUCGGAGAGCCCGUGGACUCCCCAAAGGACAGAGAGGCAGGUCGACCCCACCCCCACAUUCUGCUCUCACUCUGAAAUCAGAUUCUGCUCUUGUUGGCUAGAUAGAGGGACAGCGUGGAAACGGGACGGGACCGCAAACAGCGCACACAUUUCUUCCCUCAGACGCCUUGGGGUCCCCAGAUCCAGCCUGACUUUAUCACAGCUAACUCCAUCGGCAGAGACCGGGUUACGGGUGCCUGCGGAGUUUGGGAGGACACUGCAGCCCUGAGCCUCCCUUGCCGUGGGACUGGCUCUGUUUGGGUGAAGCCUCCUUUUCCCCACGCUUGCUCCCCCGCCCCCUGGCACAUCUGUGGGUUCUGCAAGGCAUCUCUGACACCAGCCGUCGUGAACGCUCUGUUCCUCACCAAGGGAAAGGCGGCGCCCAGCCAGCCCUUUCGGGCUGCUGUCACGCGGCUCGAACUGCAUGCGCACGUGGCAAUUUGUUACCAGACACUGCCUUGGAGCCCCGGCUCUUCCUAUUUUAAAUUUCCUUCCAGGAAAACAACAUUGACAAAACAUUCCAGUCAGGCAUUUAACUUGUUACGGCACUAAGAUUGCCUCAGAAAGACUUUCAGUUUGGGCUAUCAGCCUCACCCCUCCCUUCUGAAGGGAAAAGAAAAUAAACCAGGCAGACAUGUUGCAGCUG